CAAAGGAGUGAUCCGGCAGAGGAUGGACAUGCGGCGCAUUAGCUAGUCGGCGGGGUAACGGCCCACCGAGGCUACGAUGCGUAGGGGUUCUGAGAGGAAGGUCCCCCACACUGGUACUGAGACACGGACCAGACUCCUACGGGAGGCAGCAGUGAGGAAUAUUGGUCAAUGGGCGGAAGCCUGAACCAGCCAAGUCGCGUGAGGGAAGACGGUCCUAUGGAUUGUAAACCUCUUUUGCGGGGGAGCAAGGCGCGGUACGUGUACCGCGAAGGAGAGUACCCUGAGAAAAAGCAUCGGCUAACUCCGUGCCAGCAGCCGCGGUAAUACGGAGGAUGCGAGCGUUAUCCGGAUUUAUUGGGUUUAAAGGGUGCGCAGGCGGACUGUUAAGUCAGCGGUAAAAUGUCGGUGCUCAACACCGGCCGGCCGUUGAAACUGGCAGCCUUGAGUGAGCGAGAAGUAUGCGGAAUGCGUGGUGUAGCGGUGAAAUGCAUAGAUAUCACGCAGAACUCCGAUUGCGAAGGCAGCAUACCGGCGCUCAACUGACGCUCAGGCACGAAAGCGUGGGUAUCGAACAGGCUUAGAUACCCUGGUAGUCCACGCAGUAAACGAUGAAUGCUCACUGUCCGGGCCGUUUAAGGCCUGG
rnacentral:rRNA from 1 species